rnacentral:lncRNA from 1 species
AGCUCCCCCGUGGACGUCUGCUGUGGUUCUGGCCCAUCCCCGUGCCAGUCGACCGAGGAGCGCGUCUGAGGCGAUUUGCCUGAAGAGGUUGCCUGGUAACCUGUUUCAGACAAACACACCGAAGAAUUAAAUCCAAAAUGUGAAAGAAAAGGACAUUUUAUGUAAAGUCUACCUUUUAAUCACUUCAUGAAGGAUAAAGUAAACCCUGAGUGUAACAUCAUAAGACUUUUGGAUGCUAUAUUUUCAACACAUCUGUUGAGCCUGCACUAUGCAUUUGGACCUGGGCCAAGCAAUGGAACUACAAGGUGAAGACCCGAGGUCGUUACUCAGGUCUGUAGCGGAGGCCAGGGAGCAUCCAGGCUUGUAGAGCCUGAAGUUUAUGUGAUUUGAAGGGUUCUCUUUAAGAAAAGAUAACAAUGAAUUACAAAUAUAAAUAUAAAAGAGAAAUUUUAUUAAGAAUGAGAAAAAAAAUCCCAACAAAUUCCAAAUUUUAAAAAUCUGCCAUAUACCAGAAGUAUCAUAAAAUCCAGAGGGAGAAAAAGGACAUAGUGUUCUUAUUAACUAACUGUGUAACAAACUUCUAUUGCAUUUUUCCCUAUAUAUUUUGACUGUAUACUCUUCGAUCACCUUUUCACAUGGCAAUUAUUUUUUAUGGUCAUUUUUCAUAAGAGAUGGAAAUGUAAUUUGGUCUUUCCUCUAGCAUAGUUCAUUGAAGUUUCUUUUUCAUUAUUGAUCAUUUUGACUAGGUGUGAUUAAAGGCUGGAUCAUUCACUUACAAUUUUAUAUAUUUACAGAUUGGAAGAAAGUUCGGUACAUCUCAAACCUUGGUUCACCUACCUGUCCUCAUGGUCCCGGUGCCCAUCAUGACAGGCUGUUCUUAUUAUGAUGCAGUCUCUGGCCUCCCUGCUCCUAACUGUCGUGGUACAGGGUGAGUCAACACUUGUGGGCAGGAGGAAUAUUCCUGGAAACCAUUCCUACACCAGGAAAGCUAGUGCCACUUAACUAUACAUGGAAGCAUUUAUAGACCACAUAAAUACAUCUGAUUAAAUCCAAAUAAAUGUCUCUCUAACUCAACUCUCUCUGAACUG